AUUUAUAUGAUGAAAGAAAAACAAUAUUUUUGGUUCACAGAGAAAACAAUUACUUGUAGAAUAUAUCACAUGUAUAUUCUAUAAAAAUAUAUUAAAUAUAUGUAAUGAAUGCUUAACUUAUAUCACUUUUGGAACUUGGAAGUGGUAAAUCCCAUUCCCACACACCAUUUUAUGCCUAUCACGUCGAAACAUUAUAACACUAUAUAUUGUAUGCCGUGCAUACACGUUCAUAUCACAAGUUGUCGUCAUGUCAACCCUAAACCCUAAUUAAUUA
rnacentral:lncRNA from 1 species